rnacentral:rRNA from 1 species
GACGAACGCUGGCGGCGUGCCUCAUACAUGCAAGUCGAACGAGUUGCGGACGGGUGAGUAACACGUGGGAACCUACCCAUCUGAGGGGGAUAACACUUGGAAACAGGUGCUAAUACCGCAUAUUGAUGGCUGAACCCGUAUGGGAUUAGCUAGUUGGUGGGGUAAAGGCUCACCUAGGCGACGCUGUCUAGCGGGCCUGAGAGGAGGAUCAGCCACACUGGGACUGAGACACGGCCCAGACUCUUACGGGAGGCAGCAGUGGGGAAUAUUGCAAAAUGGGCGAAAGCCUGAUGCAGCCAUGCCGCGUGAAUGAAGAAGGCCUUAGGGUUGUAAAGUACUGUCAUCGGGGAGGCGUUACCCGCAGAAGAAGCACCGGCUAACUCCGUGCCAGCAGCCGCGGUAAUUC